ensembl:snRNA U2 U2 spliceosomal RNA
AACACAUCGCUGCCUUUUGGCUAAGAGUUUAAUAUCUAAUAUGUCCCAAUUUUACACUCUAUGAUAUUUCCUAUAUAAGGGGACAGCAUAUGAAAUAGAUUUUUAGCAUCAGGAGUUAAAAAAGGGGCUUGCUCCCUUCACUCCACGCCUCGAUCCGGUUUAGUGUUUUUAAUGGUGCUGCCAGGGAACAGUGCACCCUUC